CCUACGGGGGGCUGCAGUGAGGAAUAUUGGUCAAUGGGCGAGAGUCUGACCCAGCAAAGUCGCGUGAAGGAUGAAGGUUCUCUGGUUUGUAAACUUUUUUUAUAUGGGAAUAAAGUGAGGAACGUGUUCCUUAUUGUAUGUCCCCUAUGAAUAAGCAUCGGCUAACUCCGUGCCAGCAGCCGCGGUAAUACGGAGGAGGCGAGCGUUAUCCGGAUUUCUUGGGUUUAAGGGGUGCGUAGGUGGUUAAUUAAGUUAGCGGGGAAAGUUUAUGGCUCAACCAUAGAAUUGCCGUUGAAACUGGUGGACUUGAGUGUAGGUGGGGUAAGCGGAAUGCGUGGUGUAGCGGUGAAAUGCAUAGAUAUCACGCAGAACACCGAUUGCGAAGGCAGCUUACUAGACUGUAACUGACACUGAGGCACGAAAGCGUGGGGAGCAAACAGGAUUAGAUACCCUAGUAGUC
rnacentral:rRNA from 1 species